rnacentral:rRNA from 1 species
AGGACGAACGCUGGCGGCGCGCUUAACACAUGCAAGUCGAGCGAGAACCCACCUUCGGGUGGGGGAAAGCGGCGAACGGGUGAGUAACACGUGGGCAACCCACCCUUGGUAUCGGGAUAGCCCGGGGAAACCCGGAUUAAUACCGGAUGGCCCAGCUGCUCUUCGGGGCGGUUGGAAAAGGUAGCUUCGGCCUCCGACCAAGGACGGGCCCGCGGCGGAUUAGCUUGUUGGUGGGGUAAUGGCCUACCAAGGCGACGAUCCGUAGCUGGUCUGAGAGGACGAUCAGCCACACUGGGACUGAGACACGGCCCAGCCUUCAUUAGGCAGCAGUGUGGAAUCUUGGACAAUGAACGAAAGUUUGAUCUAGUAAUACCGCGUGAGUGAUGAAGGUCCUAACCGUAAAGCUCUUUCGUUAGGUAAGAAAAUGACAGAAAUCUAAAGAAGAAGUCCCGACUAACUUCGUGCCAGCAGCCGC